rnacentral:lncRNA from 1 species
GAGGUCGUCGGCGAUCCACCCCGGGCUGUCGGCCGUCGCCGUGAGCAGCGCGAUCACGGCGUAUAUGAAGGAGCUCAGGUAGCUUCCCAGCGCGAUGGUCAGCAGCGCCAGCGAGGUGCACAUGCUCUUCAUGGUGUCUGGCGCCUCGUUGUAGAAGAACUCCAGCUGCGCGAUGUAGCAGAAGACCUCCCCGCCGGCCAGGAAGAAGUACUGCGGCAGCUGCCACGCGAUGCUGAUCUGCUCGCCGCGCGCCGCGCUGCCGAGCCGGCUCGUCUCCACCACCGCCGCGAACGCCAUGGAGAUCGCCAUCAGGACGCGCCCGGCGCCCAUCCGCUGCAGCUGCGACGGCUCCCC